AGGGCCUUCCUGUGUGGAGGGCUGUGACUGGGUGUUGUCAAUUUCCUGAGGAGACGAUACAGGAAGAGGGGCUGGGAGAAGCAAAGGAAAAAGGAACAGAUGGGGAACUAAGGUAUAAAAUAAGUUCAACACUGGCAACCAUCUGAUAACCACAGAGAAAUGAGACUGAGGAUAAAACUAAUCUAAAGAGGAUACCAACGAAGCUGUAACCCUCCAGUUACAUAAACCAGUGUCCUGAGGGAGAAGCUGGUGCCCUUUAUCACACAGCUAACAACGCUCCUGGCCCAUGGAUCAGAGAAGUUGAAGGAAAAUACAGAGGAAGUUCUAACAGUGGCAGACCUAAUUACUGCACCAUGCCAAGCAGGUAAUCCAGCAGAAGAAAGGAAUGGAAUCUGAGCUAACCUACCAUGUUUGUACUGGAAGUCCUGCCAACAGCAUUUAAGGAGGCCUGCCUCUCCUGCAGUCAGGUGUGACCAAAGGAGUAUGAGUGAAAGUAAUGUGUGCCUCUACAAAACCUGACGCAUAUGAAGAAACAAACCAUCCAUCCACACCUGAUCCUUGUCUUCUCCAUCUGCCAGCUGAAUGGAGAGAAACAAAGAACUCCUGCUGACCCACACUGGACUAUGACAUGAGCAAGAAGCACACUUUUAUUAUGUUAAGCCACUAAUAUUUUGGGAUUAUUUGUUAGAGCAAUGGAAUCUAUCAUGAUGAAUACAUUUUUUAACAUUCUCAUAUCUUUUCUUUUUUUUUGGCUAAAAUUGAUCCAUAUUCUGCGUACUUGCUUUUGUCACUGAACAUCAUGUAAAUUUUUCCAAAUCUAUUAGUAUAGAGGCUACUCAUUCUUUUUAAUAGGGGUGUAAUAAUCCUAUAUGUAUUGCAGUAUAUAUUUAAUAUGUUAUUAUAUUCAAUAAUUAUGACAGAUGAGUAUUUCUUUGUUUUUAGAUUCUUACUUCUAUAAAUGAUGCUGCAAUAAAUAUUCUUAUACAUCCCCA
rnacentral:lncRNA from 1 species